rnacentral:rRNA from 1 species
CCAUGCAGUCGACGGCAGCAUAGGAGCUUGCUCCUGAUGGCGAGUGGCGAACGGGUGAGUAAUAUAUCGGAACGUGCCCUAGAGUGGGGGAUAACUAGUCGAAAGACUAGCUAAUACCGCAUACGAUCUACGGAUGAAAGUGGGGGAUCGCAAGACCUCAUGCUCCUGGAGCGGCCGAUAUCUGAUUAGCUAGUUGGUGGGGUAAAAGCCUACCAAGGCAACGAUCAGUAGCUGGUCUGAGAGGACGACCAGCCACACUGGGACUGAGACACGGCCCAGACUCCUACGGGAGGCAGCAGUGGGGAAUUUUGGACAAUGGGGGCAACCCUGAUCCAGCAAUGCCGCGUGAGUGAAGAAGGCCUUCGGGUUGUAAAGCUCUUUUGUCAGGGAAGAAACGGUAGUAGCGAAUAACUAUUACUAAUGACGGUACCUGAAGAAUAAGCACCGGCUAACUACGUGCCAGCAGCCGCGGUAAUACGUAGGGUGCAAGCGUUAAUCGGAAUUACUGGGCGUAAAGCGUGCGCAGGCGGUUGUGUAAGUCAGAUGUGAAAUCCCCGGGCUCAACCUGGGAAUUGCAUUUGAGACUGCACGGCUAGAGUGUGUCAGAGGGGGGUAGAAUUCCACGUGUAGCAGUGAAAUGCGUAGAUAUGUGGAGGAAUACCGAUGGCGAAGGCAGCCCCCUGGGAUAACACUGACGCUCAUGCACGA